UUUUUAGUCUUUUGGAGUUUGAAUUCUAAACAUGUUAAACUCGCCCAUCAGGAAAGUAUUGGUUGACCAAACUCAUCUACCGUAGGCCUUUUUCUAAAGAAUAUCUCCUCUCAACAUAUGAAGCGAAAGGGAGAAAACAAAAGAAGCUGCAUCUUGUUCCACCAUGGCAUCUUUCUACGUUGGCCCUCGUCGUGGAAACGCUCUGUCUCAGUGGAGACAUCUGGGGAGACUUAGUGGCUACUAUUUCAUGAAGAGACACAGGUGAUGCUGAGCGAAGACAUCACACAUGUCAAGACAGGUUCAGGAUGGGAUCUGAUGGUUCAGAAACAUGUUUGUGUUUGAGCAUCAACAAGGACUACCAUCAGCUCUAAUGAGUCCAGAGUGGAUGUGUGGAAGCUGACAAUGUGAAGUCCUCUAAUUCCAGGAUGUUAAAGCUUGC